rnacentral:rRNA from 1 species
GAUUAACGCUAGCGGCAGGCAUAAUACAUGCAAGUUGAACGAGAUUAGUUUAGCAAUAGACUAUGAAAGUGGCGCACGGGUGCGUAACACGUAUGCAACCUGCCCUUGACUGGAGAAUAGCCUCUCGAAAGAGAGAUUAAUGUUCCAUAACAUAUAGAUUAAGCAUUUAAUUAUAUCAAAGCUCCGGCGGUCAAGGAUGGGCAUGCGGUUGAUUAGCUAGUUGGUGAGGUAACGGCUCACCAAGGCGACGAUCAAUAGGGGGUCUGAGAGGAUGUCCCCCCACACUGGUACUGAGACACGGACCAGACUCCUACGGGAGGCAGCAGUAGGGAAUAUUGGUCAAUGGAGGCAACUCUGAACCAGCCAUGCCGCGUGCAGGAAGACUGCCCUAUGGGUUGUAAACUGCUUUUGUACGGGAAGAAAUGUUACUACGUGUAGUAAUUUGACGGUACCGUAAGAAUAAGGAUCGGCUAACUUCGUGCCAGCAG